rnacentral:lncRNA from 13 species
CUCAUUUGUGACUUUUCUUUCUCUUUGCUUACUUUAAGUGUUUCAAUCCCCCUCACUCAAAGCAAGGAGAUCAGGGGCUGAAAGACUAUAAAUUUCUUCUUUCUCUGCUAUAGAAAAGGCAAGGAGUUAAAGAUCCCAUGAGGGAGGUUGUUCCAAAGAGGAAGUUAGAGGUUGAUCUAGUUUUCCUUUCUUUAACUAAUGAAGCUAAGGGCUUCUGAGAAAAUAUAAUGAAAUAAUGUCUAAAAGCAUUCAGCAUUGUGUCUGUCAUGGGGUGCUGUAAACAUACAUAGACAAACAUGGUCCUGUGCUUGCAGUGCUCCCGUGACCAAGGGAAGACAGACUUUAAUCUCCUAAACUGAUCAUACUGAGGCCUCAGCAGACACACUAUGCUCAGAUUGGAGAGAAAGCUUGCCUUUCAGCUUUGAUUCUCAAGAAAAUCCAUUCAAAGAGAUGGUUU